rnacentral:rRNA from 1 species
GAAAUAGAACCUGAAACCAUGUGCCUACAAGGUGUAAGAGCCGGAAUUUAUUCCGGUGAUUGCGUGCCUUUUGCUUAAUGAGUCUACGAGUUAGUGUCUGUGGCAAGCUUAAGUCCUUCUGGGACGCAGGCGUAGCGAAAGCAAGUCCGAAUAGGGCGACAAUAAGUUGCAGGCGCUAGACCCGAAGCGGAGGCGACCUACCCAUGGCCAGGUUGAAGCGACAGUAAAAUGUCGUGGAGGACCGAACCGAUGUGUGUUGAAAAACGCUCGGAUGAGCUGUGGGUCGGAGUGAAAGGCUAUUCAAGCCCCGUGAUAGCUGGUUCUCCUCGAAAUGCAUUUAGGUGCAGCGUUGCGUGUUGAUGAGUGGGGGUAGAGCACUGAAAGGGCUAGGGGGCAUACCCGCCUACCAACCCCUAUCAAACUCCGAAUACCAUUCAAUAGAGCGCAGCAGUGAGACAGUGGGGGAUAAGCUUCAUUGUCGAAAGGGAAACAGCCCAGAUCAGCAGCUAAGGUGCCAAAAUCAUGCUAAGUGGAAAGGAGGUGGGGUUUCUUAGACAGUGAGGAUGUUGGCUUAGAAGCAGCCACCAUUUAAAAAAUGCGUAAUAGCUUACUCAUCGAGAGACCUUGCGCCGAAAAUACUUGGCGAUAAGCACUAUACCGAAGCUCUGGGUGUCCUAAUUUAUUAGGGCGCGGUAGAGGAGCAUUCUCUAGACAGUGAAGGGUGAUGGUGACUGACCCUGGAGUGUAGAGAAGUGAGAAUGCAGACAUGAGUAACGAUAAGAGCGGUGAAAUCCCGCUCCGCCGUAAAUCCAAGGUUUCCCGGGCAACGUUUUUCGUCCCGGGGUUAGUCGGGACCUAACCCGAGGCCGAUAGGCGUAGGGGAUGGAAAGCUGAUUAAUAUUUCAGCACCUGCAAAGUGAAUGGGGACGCUUUUCGAAUUGUAACUAAGUUAUUGAAUUCUGAGGGGAGGCUUUAUGCCGAACCGUAUUACAUGAAAGAGAGCCAAGAAAAGCCAUCACGACUAAAAGCAGCCCGUACCGUAAACCGACACAGGUGGGUGGGUAGAGUAUACCAAGGCGUAAGAGUGAAACCUGGUCAAGGAACUCGGCAAAAUAGCUCCGUAACUUCGGGAUAAGGAGUGCCCCUCUUCGGAGGGGCCGCAGUGAAAUGGGUCAACCGACUGUUUAGCAAAAACACAGCAUUGUGCAAAGACGCAAGUCGAAGUAUACGAUGUGACACGUGACCAAUGCCAAAAGAUUACGAUAAGAUGUUAGCCCUUGAGGCGAAGCUUCGAGUCCAAGUCCUGGUGAAUGUCGGCCGUAACUAUAACGGUCCUAAGGUAGCGAAAUUCCUUGUCGGGUAAGUUCCGACCUG